rnacentral:rRNA from 1 species
UAGGGAAUCUUCCACAAUGGACGAAAGUCUGAUGGAGCAACGCCGCGUGAGUGAUGAAGGGUUUCGGCUCGUAAAACUCUGUUGUUGGAGAAGAACAGGUGAUAGAGUAACUGUUAUCAUCUUGACGGUAUCCAACCAGAAAGCCACGGCUAACUACGUGCCAGCAGCCGCGGUAAUACGUAGGUGGCAAGCGUUGUCCGGAUUUAUUGGGCGUAAAGCGAGCGCAGGCGGUUUUUUAGGUCUGAUGUGAAAGCCUUCGGCUUAACCGGAGAAGGGCAUCGGAAACCGGGAGACUUGAGUGCAGAAGAGGACAGUGGAACUCCAUGUGUAGCGGUGAAAUGCGUAGAUAUAUGGAAGAACACCAGUGGCGAAGGCGGCUGUCUGGUCUGUAACUGACGCUGAGGCUCGAAAGCAUGGGUAGCGAACAGGAUUAGAUACCCUGGUAGUCCAUGCCGUAAACGAUGA